GGAGCUCUUUAAAAGCCUAGAAAAACUUCAGCCAACCGAACGAAAGUACUACUAUGCAGUUGGUGUACUGAAGUGCUUGCCUGGACUACUGAGAGAAAAUUGGCAAAAUCUUCUUGUAAAGCUGGAUCCCAAUGAGGCGCACGCCUACCCAACAAUCACUUAUACAGGCGACCAUACACUUACAACACGCAGCGUUAGUGUCACCGCG